GUUGUUUAUAUUAGUUUUACUGUAUUCAUUCUUGCAUUGACAAAAUUGAUUUAUAUAACACAUUUAAGUUUGACAACAGCAUAACUACAUAUGUUGAUUUAUUAACUUUCUUCUAAGAGAACUCAUUAUUUUAAAUAUAACUUCAUGAUAUUAAAACAUAAUUACGUUUAAAUAUAAUAAAUGUAUGUGUGUUUUAUGAUAAUAGUGGCAUACACGGAUUUGGUUAUUUUGUAAUUGAUAGUUUUAAAAAUCACCCUAAGUUUUUAGUUUUCAAAUGUUGCUGCAGAAGAGAGUGAAUAAUUUAUCCCGGAGUUAUAUAUAUAUAUAUAUAUAUAUAUAUAUAUGUUUGUGUGUGUGUGUGUGCUAUCUAUUAAAAAUGGGUAAAUUACAUUUAUUUUAUACUUUCUUACAGAUUUAGUGUUUAAGUUUUAGAUAUGUAUUUUAUAAAAUCUUGUUUCUAUUUUAUCAACUUGAAUGCAAUGUAUAUUCAUGUACAGUUGUAUAUAAAACUGAAGGUCAUGUAAUGAUGUUUAUGUUGUUUUGAGGUUCUUCUUUCAUUUUACCAAACUUUCAAAUUCUCAAAUCAUUGUUCAAAAUAAACUCAACGAUUAAAAAAAAACUUAGAAAUGCUACAUCUGGUUAACAAUCAAAAGAGUAUAAAAAUCUGAUCCAUCAAUACUUUAAACAUCCAGAAAUUUUGUGUAUGCCACUGAGUUAAUCUGAACGAUUGAAAAUAAAACAAGGCAAAAAAAUUAUUUAUUUUCAUUGUAAGGUUUCGAAUUUAUUCUUUGGUUUAAGCAUCACAAUAGAAUAAUACAAAACAACAUAUGCACCUUGGAAUCAAAUGAAGCUAACGAUUUUUUUAUUCAUUACUUUUCGAAUUAGUCUGCUUCAUCAUCAACAUUUUAAUGGGUUGAAACAAACCCACACUCCAUCCAUCGU
rnacentral:lncRNA from 1 species